GCGAGCGUAGUUCAAUGGUAAAACAUCUCCUUGCCAAGGAGAAGAUACGGGUUCG
rnacentral:tRNA from 1 species